AGUGAACGCUGGCGGUAGGCCUAACACAUGCAAGUCGAACGGCAGCACAGUAAGAGCUUGCUCUUACGGGUGGCGAGUGGCGGACGGGUGAGGAAUACAUCGGAAUCUACUUUUUCGUGUGGGUUAACGUAGGGAAACUUACGCUAAUACCGCAUACGACCUACGGGUGAAAGCAGGGGAUCUUCGGACCUUGCGCGAUUGAAUGAGCCGAUGUGGGAUUAGCUAGUUGGCGGGGUAAAGGCCCACCAAGGCGACGAUCCGUAGCUGGUCGGAGAGGAUGGUCGGCCACAUCGGAACGUGAACAGCGACCAGGCGACUAAGGGAGGGAGCAGUGGGGAAUGUUGGACAAUAGGGGGAAACCUGACACAACCAGAGCGAGUGGGUGGAAGAAGCCUUGCGGGUGGGAAGCCCUUUUGUUGGGAAAGAAAAGCAGCAGGUUAAUACCCCGCUGUUCUGACGGUACCCAAAGAAUAAGCACCGGCUAACUUCGUG
rnacentral:rRNA from 1 species